AUACGUAGGUGGCAAGCGUUGUCCGGAAUUAUUGGGCGUAAAGCGCAUGUAGGCGGUGCCUUAAGUCUGUCGUGAAACUGCGGGGCCUAACCCCGUAUGGCGAUGGAAACUGUGGCACUUGAGUGCAGGAGAGGAAAGGGGAACUCCCAGUGUAGCGGUGAGAUGCGUAGAUAUUGGGAAGAACACCGGUGGCGAAGGCGCCUUUCUGGACUGUGUCUGACGCUGGGAUGCGAAAGCCAGGGUAGCGAACGGGAUUAGAUACCCCGGUAGUCCUGGCCGUAAACGAUGGGUACUAGGUGUGGGAGGUAUCGACCCCUUCCGUGCCGGAGUUAACGCAAUAAGUACCCCGCCUGGGGAGUACGGCCGCAAGGCUUAAACUCAAAUGAAUUGACGGGG
rnacentral:rRNA from 1 species